GACGAACGCUGGCGGCGUGCUUAACACAUGCAAGUCGAACGGAAAGGCCCUGCUUUUGUGGGGUGCUCGAGUGGCGAACGGGUGAGUAACACGUGAGUAACCUGCCCUUGACUUUGGGAUAACUUCAGGAAACUGGGGCUAAUACCGGAUAGGAGCUCCUGCUGCAUGGUGGGGGUUGGAAAGUUUCGGCGGUUGGGGAUGGACUCGCGGCUUAUCAGCUUGUUGGUGGGGUAGUGGCUUACCAAGGCUUUGACGGGUAGCCGGCCUGAGAGGGUGACCGGCCACAUUGGGACUGAGAUACGGCCAAGACUCAUAAGGGAGGCAGCAGUGGGGAAUAUUGCACAAUGGGCGGAAGCCUGAUGCAGCAACGCCGCGUGCGGGAUGACGGCAUUCGGGUUGUAAACCGCUUUCGCCUGUGACGAAGCGUGAGUGACGGUAAUGGGUAAAGAAGCACCGGCUAACUACGUG
rnacentral:rRNA from 1 species